rnacentral:rRNA from 1 species
GACGAACGCUGGCGGCGUGCUUAACACAUGCAAGUCGAACGGAAAGACCCUGCUUUUGUGGGGUGCUCGAGUGGCGAACGGGUGAGUAAGACGUGAGUAACCUGCUCUUCACUUUGGGGGAACAUCAGGAAACUGGGGCUAAUACCGGAGAGGAGCUCCUGCUGCUUGGUGGGGGGUGGAACGUUUCGUCGGUUGGGAAUGGAUUCGCGGCUUAUCAGCUUGUUGGUGGGGUAGUGGCUUACCAAGGCUUUGACGGGUAGCCGGCCUGAGAGGGUGACCGGCGACAUUGGGACUGAGAUACGGCCCAGACUGCUACGGGAGGCAGCAGUGGGGAAUAUUGCACAAUGGGCGGAAGCCUGAUGCAGAAGCGCUGCGUGCGGGAAGACGGCCUUCGGGUUAUAAACCGCUUUCGCCUGUGACGAAGCGUGAGUGACGGUAACGGGUGAAGAAGCACCGGCUAACUACGUG